rnacentral:rRNA from 1 species
UACGUAGGGUGCAAGCGUUGUCCGGAAUUACUGGGCGUAAAGCGUGCGCAGGCGGUUUCUUAAGUCAGAUGUGAAAGCCCCGGGCUUAACCUGGGAACUGCGUUUGAAACUGGGAGACUUGAGUGUGGCAGAGGGGGGUGGAAUUCCACGUGUAGCAGUGAAAUGCGUAGAUAUGUGGAGGAACACCGAUGGCGAAGGCAGCCCCCUGGGUUAACACUGACGCUCAUGCACGAAAGCGUGGGGAGCAAACAGG